rnacentral:rRNA from 1 species
UACAGAGGGUGCGAGCGUUGUCCGGAAUUACUGGGCGUAAAGGGCGCGUAGGCGGCCUGAUAAGUAGGGGGUGAAAUCCUGUGGCUUAACUGCAGGGCUGCCUCCUAGACUGUUAGGCUCGAGCACGGUAGAGGCAGAUGGAAUUCCCGGUGUAGCGGUGGAAUGCGUAGAGAUCGGGAGGAACACCGGCGGCGAAGGCGGCUGCCUGGACCAGUCCUGACGCUGAGGCGCGAAAGCUAGGGGAGCAAACAGG